rnacentral:rRNA from 1 species
UACGUAGGGACCGAGCGUUAUCCGGAUUCAUUGGGCGUAAAGAGCUCGUAGGCGGCUAUUCAAGUCGAACGUGAAAUCUCGGGGCUCAACUCCGAGCCUGCGUUCGAUACUGGGUAGCUAGAGUCUGGUAGGGGGAUCUGGAAUUCCUGGUGUAGCGGUGGAAUGCGCAGAUAUCAGGAGGAACACCGGUGGCGAAGGCGGGAUCCUGGGCCAGUACUGACGCUGAGGAGCGAAAGCGUGGGGAGCAAACAGG